CACCACUGGCAACGUUUUGUUGUUCUCUCGGUGGGUCAGAACAGAAGCGGCAGACAUUUUACUUACAUGUUCGAAUAUACAUCCUAUUCACCAACAGCCACACCUGUUCCUCCUAACAUUUCCUGAGGUGAGGUGCCGCGCCGAGUGUUUGUAAUCCUAGUAUUUCAGUAUAAAUUCAAUUUCAGGUUUUAACACAAAGGUGGUGACAAACAAGCAAAACUUACAGACGACAACUUUAACAAACCGGCGGGUCCUUGUGGACGAAAGAAAGCAGGAAGUAUCUCUCCGAAGUGUUGGAAAUGUGAUGAAAGUGUGGAUUUUGAAAGGAUGUGGAGUCAGGGCUCGGAGGUGUGUGAAGCGGCACGAGGCCUGCAGAAAAAGCCCUCACUCCUGGGGAAAAAGUGUGAAGUUAAAGCUGAAGAGCAUCAGCAUCUUUACCUUUUAAGUUUGCUCAAACAGGGACACGCAGAUGACCGGUCUAACGGGACCCCCUGAGUGCCUGCUCAAAGCCUGAGGUGUAACGAUGGCCUUGCCAAGCAUAUGCUGGCUGGAGGGGAGAGAGUCUGCGAUGAAAUAAACUUACUUUGGAGCAACGGACAUCAGCACUGCUCCUGAUUACUGAGCACGAAAAUCUGGCAAAGAGCUGAGCUGUCCCACGCUGAACUGAACUGAAGCCUUUUGCACUGGGCUGGGCUAGACUGUCUGAUACAACACAUUCAGAGACUGGGAGACAGAAGCACACAACAGAGGAGGCACGUUUAAAUGUCGCUGGCAGCACUGAAGCCGAGACCACUUCUAAACUGGUAGGAUGCUAAGAGUUUGCAAUUCCUGAGUUUUACCACUAGUGUGCAUUUGUGAGCAGCGAGAGAGAACAUUACGCACCGGCUAAUGGGAUGCUUUGCAACUUCUGCUUUAACUUUAUUUGACGUUGCAGUGUGGGUGGCUCAUCGUCUGGCUGUAGGUUAUUUGUCUUCCCGUCUUAACACAGUGGUGUAAUGAGAUGCAAGUGUGAUAAAUGUGAUGGAUGUCUCCGCUAGACUGUGAUCUGUCGCCUGUGGCCACACUCUUACAUCACUCAGUCGGGAGUCCACGGCCACCGCCUGUGGAUCCAUAAUUCUCCUUCAUUUGCUCUGUGACAGAUUUCUGUUUGAACUUGAGUCCCCCUGUGGCGAGAUGCUAAUCGCUCAAAAGUACAUCCCACCCUCGGCUAGCAUCUUGAGCUGUUUCUUUUCAGCGUGCGGCUGCAUGCGGGCAUAGCCAUUGUUUUUUGAAAGAAUAACAAAACAAAACAGGUGUUUGUUCUCACUAGAAAUGCUAAAAUAAGUGUUCAGAUUAUGUUAAAUGAACUUUUUGGAUGUUAGAUUAAGUUUAGAUGGAGUUAGAUUGAAACUAUCCUCCAUUUUUGGUUGACAGUUCUGAUCGUAUUUGUGGCUGUUCUUUUCAAAGUUAGUGCCGGCCAUUUUUUGGUCUCUCUGUGUUGUCAAUUGCAGAAUCUUUGGUAAUUACAGACCUUGUAUGUGUAUUCUGAUAUUUAGCAGUUGUUUAUUCAUUCUGUGCAUGUUGCUGUGUUUGGGUAUUAACAUUUAUUAUGAUGCCCAAACUUGCUUUUCCUCAAUAUUUACUUGCUUUGUUAUAUUCAAAUAUUUAUCCGGUCUACUAAUCUGCAUUUUCUUUUGAGAUGUAAUUUUCUCACCUGCUGUGUUGUGACCGAAAAGCAAUGUUUGGUUUACAUAUCUGAACUUACCUUGAAUUUAAAAUACAGAUGAAAGGAUAAAUCGUGUGUUAUUAACUAU
rnacentral:lncRNA from 1 species